rnacentral:rRNA from 1 species
CCUACGGGUGGCAGCAGUGGGGAAUAUUGCGCAAUGGGCGAAAGCCUGACGCAGCGACGCCGCGUGAGGGAUGAAGGUCUUCGGAUCGUAAACCUCUGUCAGCAGGGAAGAACGGUCACUGUGCUAAUCAGCAGUGCAUUGACGGUACCUGCAAAGGAAGCACCGGCUAACUCCGUGCCAGCAGCCGCGGUAAUCCGGAGGGUGCGAGCGUUAAUCGGAAUUACUGGGCGUAACGCGCUCGUAGGCGGUAUGUCAAGUCAAGGGUGACAUCCCCGCGCUCAACGUGGGAACUGCCUUUGAAACUGGAAAACUGGAGUGUGUGAGAGGAUAGUGGAAUUCCAGGUGUAGGAGUGAAAUCCGUAGAUAUCUGGAGGAACAUCAGUGGCGAAGGCGACUAUCUGGCACAUAACUGACGCUGAGGAGCGAAAGCGUGGGUAGCAAACAGGAUUAGAUACCCCAGUAGUC